AACCUAGCACACCUGCGGUGUGUACCUGCGGAGGGAUCAUUAUCGAGUUAGGGUCGUUCUGGCCCGAACUUCCAACCCCUUGUUUAUCACACCAUGUUGCUUUGGUAGGCCCGCCCCUCCUUGGGGGGCCGCCGGAGGUUAUCUUACCUCUGGCCCGUGCCUGCCAGUAGCCUUAUUAAAUUCUUUUUUAACUGUGUCGUCUGAGUGGCCUUAUUAAAUCGUUAAAAACUUUCAACAAUG
rnacentral:misc_RNA from 1 species